rnacentral:rRNA from 1 species
GACAGAGGGUGCAAACGUUGUUCGGAAUUACUGGGCGUAAAGCGCGUGUAGGCGGCUGCGCAAGUCGGGUGUGAAACCCCGGGGCUCAACCCCGGAACUGCAUCCGAUACUGCGUGGCUAGAGGUAGGUAGGGGAGAUCGGAAUUCCUGGUGUAGCGGUGAAAUGCGCAGAUAUCAGGAGGAACACCGGUGGCGAAGGCGGAUCUCUGGGCCUUACCUGACGCUCAGGCACGAAAGCUAGGGGAGCGAACAGG